rnacentral:rRNA from 1 species
UACGAAGGUGGCAAGCGUUACUCGGAAUUACUAGGCGUAAAGGGCAGGUAGGUGGUUUGGUUAGUCUGUUGUGAAAGCUCCUUGCUUAACGGGGAGAGGUCAACAGAUACUGCCAGGCUUGAGUCUAGGAGAGGGUACUGGAAUUCCCGGUGUAGCGGUGAAAUGCGCAGAUAUCGGGAGGAACACCGGUGGCGAAGGCGGCAUCCUGGACCGGUAUUGACGCUGAUGCGCGAAAGCCAGGGGAGCAAACGGG